AUUGAACGCUGGCGGCAGGCCUAACACAUGCAAGUCGGACGGUAGCACAGAGGAGCUUGCUCCUUGGGUGACGAGUGGCGGACGGGUGAGUAAUGUCUGGGGAUCUGCCCGAUAGAGGGGGAUAACCACUGGAAACGGUGGCUAAUACCGCAUAACGUCGCAAGACCAAAGAGGGGGACCUUCGGGCCUCUCACUAUCGGAUGAACCCAGAUGGGAUUAGCUAGUAGGCGGGGUAAUGGCCCACCUAGGCGACGAUCCCUAGCUGGUCUGAGAGGAUGACCAGCCAAACUGGAACUGAGACACGGUCCAGACUCCUACGGGAGUCAGCAGUGGGGAAUAUUGCGCAAUGGGCGCAAGCCUGAUGCAGCCAUGCCGCGUGUAUGAAGAAGGCCUUCGGGUUGUAAAGUACUUUCAGCGGGGAGGAAGGCGGUGAGGUUAAUAACCUCGCCGAUUGACGUUACCCGCAGAAGAAGCACCGGCUAACUCCGUGCCAGCCGCCGCCGUAA
rnacentral:rRNA from 1 species